rnacentral:misc_RNA from 1 species
AUUGCGUCGCCCCAGACUACGCCUCCCCAACGGGGAUGCGUUCGACUGGGGCGGAGAAUGGUCUCCCGUGUCGUCGGCGUGGUUGGCCUAAAAAGGAGUCCCCUUCGGCGGACGCACGGCUAGUGGUGGUUGUUAAGGCCUUCGUAUCGAGCCGUGUGUCGUUAGCCGCAAGGGAAGCACUCUUUAAAGACCCCAAUGUGUCGUCUCGUGACGACGCUUCGA